AUUGUGGAGUGUCAUACAAACUCAAGUAGCUUAGGCGAAAGAGGACACUAUGAAGCAAUAA
rnacentral:sRNA from 12 species